rnacentral:rRNA from 1 species
UACACACCGCCGUCACAUCACGAAAGUGGAUUGUACUAGAAAUCCGUGGCCUAACCUUCGGGGGGAGCGGCUGAAGGUAUGAUCCAUGAUUGGGGUG